rnacentral:rRNA from 1 species
CAGUAGCCGCGGUAAUACGAAGGGUGCAAGCGUUAAUCGGAAUUACUGGGCGUAAAGCGUGCGUAGGCGGUUUGUUAAGUCUGUUGUGAAAUCCCCGGGCUCAACCUGGGAAUGGCAAUGGAUACUGGCAAGCUAGAGUGUGUCAGAGGAUGGUGGAAUUCCCGAUGUAGCGGUGAAAUGCGUAGAGAUCGGGAGGAACAUCAGUGGCGAAGGCGGCCAUCUGGGACAACACUGACGCUGAGGCACGAAAGCGUGGGGAGCAAACAGGAUUAGAUACCCGCGUAGUCCCUGUCUCUUAUAC